rnacentral:rRNA from 1 species
GACGAACGCUGGCGGCGUGCUUAACACAUGCAAGUCGAACGGAAAGGCCUCUUUCGGGGGGUACUCGAGUGGCGAACGGGUGAGUAACACGUGAGUAACAUGCCCUUGACUUUGGGAUAACUUCAGGAAACUGGGGCUAAUACCGGAUAGGAGCUCCUGCUGCAUGGUGGGGGUUGGAAAGUUUCGGCGGUUGGGGAUGGACUCGCGGCUUAUCAGCUCGUUGGUGGGGUAGUGGCUUACCAAGGCUUUGACGGGUAGCCGGCCUGGGAGGGGGGACGGCCACAUUGGGGCUGGAGUACGGCCCAGGAUCCUACGGGGGGCAACAAGGGGGAAAAUUUCACAAUGGGGGGGAGCCUGAAGCAACAACGCCCGGGGCGGGAUGACGGCCUUCGGGUUGUAAACCGCUUUCGCUCAUGACGAAGCUUUGUGUGACGGUAGUGGGUAAAGAAGCACCGGCUAACUACGUG